AAAAAUAUUUUCCACUCACCUAUUAUUGUAAAACAUCAUAGAAGAAGCAGCAGGUUUUGCAAUCACACCAAGAACUUGAGUGGUAAUUCUUAUGAACACCACAUGUGGUGACAUAGGAAAAUAAUUGUACACCCUAUAUUUCAUAAUGAAUUAUUUUAGAAAACUGGUAUGGAAAUAAUUAUUUCAGAAAAUCUUAGUGAUAUCCAAUUUUUGCUAAUUUAAAUUAUAACCUUAUAGUUUGAACAGAAAUUUAAAGGUAUAUGUAAAUGAGUCAUAUAAAAAUAUAGUAUGUCACUUUCCCCUUUAGUUUUUACUCAUGUUACUUGAAUUCUAAGCAAUAUACAGAAAUAUGUCAAAUAGAAGAGAUGCUUAUAUAGUCUAUACAUGUUCUGGGUACCUGCAUAGUAAGUUUUAUUCAUGUACAUUUGCUACAAUGGUGUAAUUGAACCAUGCAGCAACAGCAGUUCGGUGUCCCAACUGAAGCUUUGACUCAAUGACUCAAGAUUUAUUUUAGAAAAUUGAACAAAGCUGACUUUCACUUUACUAUGACAAUUAAAUUUUUGUGAAAUGAUAAGUUCCCCUUUUAAAUUGUAAGAUGUAUACUUAUUAGCAUAAAACAAAAAAGCUUCACUGUGAAGCCUUUUUGAAAGGUCCAUACUG
rnacentral:lncRNA from 1 species